GUGGGGUGUAGGUGGGGUUGUAUGGUGGUGUGUAGAUGUGGUAUGGUGGGGUGUAGGUGGGGUUGUAUGGUGGUGUGUAGGUGGGGUGGUAUGGUGGUGUGUAGAUGGGGUGGUAUGGUGGUGUGUAGAUGGGGUGGUAUGGUGGUGUGGAGAUGGGGUAAGGUGGGGUGUAGGUGGGGUUGUAUGGUGGUGUGUAGAUGUGGUAUGGUGGGGUGUAGGUGGGGUUGUAUGGUGGUGUGUAGGUGUGGUGGUAUGGUGGUCUGUAGGUGGGGCGGUAUGGUGGUGUGUAGAUGGGGUGGUAUGGUGGUGUGUAGAUGGGCUAAGGUGGGGUUGUAUGGUGGGGUUGUAUGGUGGUGUGUAGAUUGGGUGGUUUGGUGGUGUGGAGAUGGGGUAAGGUGGGGUUGUAUGGUGGGGUUGUAUGGUGGUGUGUAGAUGUGGUAUGGUGGGGUGUAGGUGGGGUUGUAUGGUGGUGUGUAGGUGGGGUGGUAUGGUGGUGUGUAGAUGGGGUGGUAUGGUGGGGUUGUAUGGUGGUGUGUAGAUGGGGUGGUAUGGUGGUGUGUAGAUGGGGUAAUGUGGGGUUGUAUGGUGUGUGGAGAUGGAGUAAGGUGGGGUGGUAUGGUGGGGUUGUAUGGUGGUGUGUAGAUGGG
ensembl:lncRNA